AUUCAUAAUUAGAUCUUAUAUUCAAGACCGUCUUAAAUACGUGAUACGGUCUUAAGAAGUCACGAACCAAUUAGAAGGCCGCAUUAGUGUCUUAAGAUAUAAUAUUAUUUAAGACGGUUUUGAAAUAAGAAUCGACUAUGAAUGUCAGCUGUAAAGAAGGAGAGGUGUUAUUAAUUGACUUAAUAAGAUCAUACACAUUUAUGGAAUGUUAUGGAACAAAGAAAAUAAAGAUUACAAAGAUGUAAAUAAAUGUGACAAUUCUUGGCAAGAAAUAGCUACUGUAAUGCAUCUACUCGUAAAGAAAUGUAUAAGCCAAUGAUAUAGAUUAUGAGUAUUGUUCAAAGGAAAGACAAAACCAAGAAAAUAUACCAAGGUUCUGCACCUAGAAAGAAGAGACCAUGGGAAUUAUAUGAGCAAAUAUCAUUUAUAGACGAGCAUGUACACAAAAGAAGUGAUAUUUCAUUUUUACAUAGAAGAAACGAGAAGAUAUACCAACAUCAACAGAACUGUAAAUGAACCCAGUUUACAGUUAAAUAGACUGCAGAAAAAGAUUAUGGACAAGAUCGCCUCUAAGUGAUAUAACCAAUAAGGAUGAUAUGCAAAUUGAAUCAUUUAUGUUUACGAUGCCGACAUCACCCACAGGAUCUGAUUCAAAAAAUAAGAACUCUCAAGAAUCGCUUGAUGUGCUGGAAAAAUCACUUAGUUUAGUAUCUCAAUCUGCAAUGGCAGCUCAAAUGUUUUCAAAUGAUAAUGUAAAUGAUAGAGAUGAAGCUUUAACAAACAUGAUUUUGAAUUAUGAAUUACGAAAAAGUUAAAUACUAAUGUAUCACAAAAAUCAAAACUAAUGUUAAUAUUAUCGUGAAGCAUACAAUAAACUAAAUAUUUUAUGUGA